rnacentral:rRNA from 1 species
AUACGGAGGUUCCGAGCGUUAUCCGGAUUUAUUGGGUUUAAAGGGAGCGUAGGUGGACCGUUAAGUCAGUUGUGAAAGUUUGCGGCUCAACCGUACAAUUGCAGUUGAUACUGGCUGUCUUGAGUAAUGUAGAGGUGGGCGGUAUUCUUGGUGUAGGGGUGAAAUGCUUAGAUAUCACGAAGAACUCCGAUUGCGAAGGCAGCUCACUGGACUGCAACUGACACUGAUGCUCGAAAGUGUGGGUAUCAAACAGGAUUAGAUACCCUGGUAGUCCACACAGUAAACGAUGAAUACUCGCUGUUUGCGAUAUACAGUAAGCGGCCAAGCGAAAGCAUUAAGUAUUCCACCUGGGGAGUACGCCGGCAACGGUGAAACUCAAAGGAAUUGACGGGG